rnacentral:pre_miRNA from 1 species
CUCCUUAUGGUGAAGAUAAGAUCCGAAUAUGCUUGGAAGAAAUGCGAGUAUUAUAUGAUGCCAAUCAUCGUGAUGUAGCCCUUGUAUCUAACUCUUCGUCUGGGCCAUCAUCAUCAUCAUAUGAAA